rfam:Schistosoma haematobium scaffold104_13, whole genome shotgun sequence.
AGACCUCUAUAUCCGUCCUGAGAUUUUGUCACAUACCAGACCACAAAGGCUGAUGAGACUCCCAAGACAAGUGGAGCG